rnacentral:rRNA from 1 species
GGUGAGUAACGCGUGGAUAACCUGCCGUAUACAGGGGGAUAACACUUAGAAAUAGGUGCUAAUACCGCAUAAGCGCACGGUUCCGCAUGGAACAGUGUGAAAAACUCCGGUGGUAUACGAUGGAUCCGCGUCUGAUUAGCCAGUUGGCGGGGUAACGGCCCACCAAAGCGACGAUCAGUAGCCGGCCUGAGAGGGUGAACGGCCACAUUGGGACUGAGACACGGCCCAAACUCCUACGGGAGGCAGCAGUGGGGAAUAUUGCACAAUGGGGGAAACCCUGAUGCAGCGACGCCGCGUGAGUGAAGAAGUAUCUCGGUACGUAAAGCUCUAUCAGCAGGGAAGAAAAUGACGGUACCUGAUUAAGAAGCCCCGGCUAACUACGUGCCAGCAGCCGCGGUAAUACGUAGGGGGCAAGCGUUAUCCGGAUUUACUGGGUGUAAAGGGAGCGUAGACGGCAGCGCAAGUCUGGAGUGAAAUGCCGGGGCCCAACCCCGGAACUGCUUUGGAAACUGUGCAGCUCGAGUGCAGGAGAGGUAAGCGGAAUUCCUAGUGUAGCGGUGAAAUGCGUAGAUAUUAGGAGGAACACCAGUGGCGAAGGCGGCUUACUGGACUGUAACUGACGUUGAGGCUCGAAAGCGUGGGGAGCAAACAGGAUUAGAUACCCUGGUAGUCCACGCCGUAAACGAUGAUUACUAGGUGUCGGGGGGCCAAGGCCCUCCGGUGCCGGCGCAAACG